AAGGGCUAACAAAGAUCAGGGCAAACAUAUGUAAUGGAAGGGAACCUGACUGAGAGCUGAUUCCCUCUCAUGACUGAGACAUAUAACACAGUAUGUUGUUUGCCACAGUGUAUUCGUAUAUAUGUUUAUGUUCAUCAUGACUCUUUGUU